UAAUAAUAGACUGGUGGAUACCCUAGUGAUGGGCCUCACUGGGCUAAGCUAGGCUGGUCCAAGGAUGAAAGGCAUAAUUCAUUGCUAGCUUGUACUGUGACUCUUCCCAGCUCAGUAGAACUUGCCAGGGCUUCUCCUUCACUGGCAUAGCUUUGGAGAUGCUGGGGUCACCACCAUACCCCAACAAAGCACAAGAGUAGGACUUGUCCUACACAUUUCAAAUCCUCGAGACAAAGGAAGGAACUAACUGUGAUUGGGAAAACAGGUAAUUCGUGAUUGCCUUCUGACCCAAGUUUGCUGUGUUUGUCAUCAUAUGAAUACACCAACCAAAGGCAUUUCUCACUUUCAAAGUAAAAUGGUGCUACAAGGCUCUGCCUCAUUUUGGACUCUCUUCUCUACUGAUUUGAAAACUGAAGCACCUGAUGACAAUGAACUAAGGCUGUUGGAGCUGCAACUAAGAUGAAAAUUCAGUCAUUCGACAUCAAUAUGUUCCAUGGUAAAGCUCGUUGUUCAAGAUGAUGAAACUGAAGUCCAGAGAGGGAAACAACAUCACACAGGUAAAACGGUAAAUGACAAAGAGAUUGCAGACUAUAUGGUAUGGAGCACUGAAUAUCAAUGUCAGAUCUGGUUGGUUUUUCUCUCUCUUGGUUUUGCUGAAGCCUUCCUGUCAGUUUUAAAAUUCUUCAUUCUAAUGGAUGGCAAAAGGAAAGGAUGGAUGUAUUUGUUAACACAGCUGAUACAAAUAUUAUGA
rnacentral:lncRNA from 1 species